rnacentral:lncRNA from 1 species
UCAGAUCCUCUUCAAAUCAUGUGAGAUAUAGGAAAUUCUCAUUUUUCCAUGUUUUUACCUGCACAAAAAACAACGUAAGGCAUGUCCAGACAUGUGAGAUCAAUUCAGUAUAGAUGUCUGUGUGAGGGGAAUACUAACAAAGAAAGGCCCAAUAUUUUCAUGGAUAAUGAAGCCCAACAAGGUAACCUAGAGAUGAGAACCAAACUGGAUGAUAGAGAAUUGUUUUUAGUGUAAUUUACCCUUAACAUGGUGGGUGCUUAGUAAAAGCUAACAUAGGAGGAAGGUUAAUAUAUCAGGCAGCAGGGGUAACAGUCCAUCAGACAUCUUGUGCAGAUUGCAGCGAUACAUUUUAACAUCAUAAGACUAGAAAAAAACAAGCAGGAGCUGAAUACAAAACCAGAGGAUAUGACAAACAGAAGGUUCGCUGUCAGUCACCCUCCCUCACAGUCACUUCUUCUGUCUACAUUUGUCCAAACAUGAUGGUUUUCAAUCAUGCAGACAAAACUCUUCAGACAACAGCCGUCCUCUUUUGUGUCGGACUUGAGAGUCAGAAUUAGUGAACCAUUUUCCCUCCAGAUUCAACUCAGCUCAGUUUAGGGCUUAAUCAAGUGGAAAUUAGGAAUAGGGGGUUGUGGGGGUGGUCAGGGUUGGGGUGCAGGGGAGAAUGGAGCAAUUGUUCAGAUAAAGGCCCCAUGUUGAGUCAGCUUUGAUGUUUCUCUAGGGGGAUAUGCCUGGAUUUUACAGUAGCAUUUCUCUACAUUACUGUUUGCUCUCUGCUGGCAAUAGCUGCAGGCUGCAAAGAUUAAACUGAAUGGGGUUCAGCGUUGAGCAAUCUCUGCUAUAUUUGCUUUAACUUGUCCUGAAGUUUUGUGGUUAACUUUCCCAAAGCAAUGUCACAUUUUGCAUCGGUAUUUCUUAUCUGCACCCCCUCUGCAUGGACACCCAACAAUAUCAACAUUCAAGUGAGAUUCCCCUUCGUUUGCCCCUCGCCUAUACAAGCAGACAGGCUCCCACUGAUCUAUUAUGUUGCAAAGCCUUUCUCAUGCAUGUCUUGAAUGAAAGCCAGCGUAUCGAUGGUCUGAGGAUAAUCACGUUUUCCUGAGGCAGGCUUAGCAGCACUAAAUAAGCCGCACAGAAGGGAAAUGGUGGGACAGACAAAACUGUUGUGGGAGAAAGCGAAGAGAUUGUUUUUCUCCUUAAAGUUCAACACACAGAUAUAUAAAAAAAGAGAUGAAUGUACAAAGAAAAAAACAGGAAAAAUUUCUCUUGCAUGUGAAAGAUCGUUGUAUAUAUGCACACAUUUGUUACGAUAGGACCUACUUGGUGAUGCUCUAUUAUAAACAGCGUACAUUUCCUACCUCUCUGUCUUCCUCCUCAGCAGGUGCACUUGGCACACUUUGGAGAUGCUACAGUAUUCCGUCUCUAGAAGCUGUCUCUUUUCCGCUUUUCCACUUGUUGCUGAAUCAAUGGAGCAUCCACGUGAAAUCCUUACUCCUCGACUCUUUCCAAAACACGGCGACCGACCAAACAGGCAACCCAAAGUUGCUCAGAAGUGCUCUGUUGUUACUCACUUUGCGGGGAAGUUGUUGGUAGUUGACAAGAGUUUGGUGCAGGUUCUCUCUGAGGCGCACAAAGUGGAUAUUUGCAUUAGGCUGACCCUCCCCUCGCCUUUCAUAGCUGCCAUUGUUUGUCCCAGUCGGAGCUCGGAUUCAGUCCUUCCCUAAAUCCCUGACGACCGAAGCAGGGAAUGCUGCUCUCUCCGAGUCUGGCAAUUAACAAAAGCGCGUCGACACAAUGAAGACGAUUAAUUUAAUAGUAACGAGACGUUCACAUUUGAGUGAAAAAACAAACAAGCAUAACUAAGAUUGGGCACACAUCUUUGGAGAAGUGACUCUGUCGCCAACGUUUAACUUGAAUGACAGGUUGAAGGCAGGUAGGCUCGACGCGUUUACGUAUGGUCACGUGUCACAGGUACGUUUAGGACAGUGACAGCCUAACUUGAUCUGUAAUGAUGACAACGUUAGAUAUAAUGGCUGCGUUUGCAAGCAAAUGAUAAUUUCAGCAUUGAUUUUCUUACACUUUCUUAAAAACAAUAAAAUAAAAGAACCCUUGUGACAGCAUUAACAUUGAGAAAAACUUUGUUGUUGCAAUUAUUAUUAUUAUUAUUAUUAUUAUUAUUAUUAUUAUUAUUAUUAUUAUUAUUAUUAUUAUUAUCGUCAUCAUCAUUAUUUAUUAUUGUCAUUUAUAAUAAUAAUAAUAAUAAUAAUAAUAAUAAUAACCAUGAUGAUUAUUAUUGAUAUUAUUAUUAUUAUUAUUAUUGUUGUUGUCAUUUAUUAUAAUAAUUAUUAUCAUCAUUAUUAGUAGUAUUUUUAUCGCUUAUUAUUGUUGUUAUUAUUAUUACCACUUAUUACUUUUACAAUUAUUGUUAUUUAUCAUUAUUAUUUUAUCACUUAUUUUUAUUAUUAUUAUUAUUAUUAUUAUUAUUAUUAUUAUUAUUAUUAUCAUCGUCACAUAUUAUAUUAUUAUUAAUAUUAUUAUCGUCACAUAUUAUAUUAUUAUUAUUAUUAUUAUUAUUAUUAUUACUGAUUUAAAAACCUGCAGCUAGAAUUUAAAUCAAUACAUAAUCAUCUUUAGCUAGACAUUCUCAUACAGCCUAUUUUUAUCUCUAAAAUGAUAUGAAGGCAAAGGUGUCAUGAUUUUGUCUUUGAGGAUUGUGAAGGAACCCAGGUGCAGGUAGCGAAGGCAGAAGUUUUAAGUGAUUUUAUAAACAACAGACAGUUGUAGGAGGGUGAUGUGAGGUCCAAGGAGUGGAGGAAAUCCGCGGUGGCAGUGUGUGGGACUAGGGAGACCGCAGGUGAGUGACUCUGAGUGGACAGUGUGGAGACGUGACAGAGGUUGGGCAGACACUGGCGGAGACACUGGAGGAGAGCGUGGAUUAGUCACAGGCACAAACAUACGCAGGGAAACCUCAAACUUGUUAAUACUCGCUAGAAACUGGUUGAGAUACCACAGUAGAUAUGGGAAUAAUCUGCCAACGAGCAGUCUCAGUGCAGAGCUUUAAAGCAGGUGGUGAUAAGGUUGAUCAGGUGCAGGUGUGGAAGUGUAGGAGGAGCUUGAGCUGAUGAGGAGCCGCCCAUCCCAUGUGGGAAGGGAAGAGGGAGACUCCACAUUCACAAACGACUCCACAGCGCCCUCAUGUGUUAAAACCACAGUAAUCAUGACAAAAGGCCCUUUCGAAUACUAGCAGGAUUAAACCACUUGAACCACUUAGCCUACCCGUUGCAUUGUGAUAUGGCAGAUAUUAAAACCAGGGCUUGUUAACCACAACGUAUCCUACUCAAUGGCUCAGCAAUUUUAAGCAACCUAACCCUUAGCAAAAAGUAGUUCAUUCAAGUCUACAAUGAGUAUACUUACUUUAUACUAAAACUAUGGAAGUAUACUUGAAGUUGACUUUUUAUCAACUAUAUUUUAUAUACUUAAGAAUAGUACGAUGAAGUAUACGUCGCUUAUACUGAAAAGUGUAA